UAGAUACCCCACUAUGCUUAGCCGUAAAAUAUUAACCCACACUCAGCCCGCCAGGGGAUUACAAGCCCAAGCUUAAAACCCAAAGGACUUGACGGUGUCCCAUCCCUCUAGAGGAGCCUGUUCUAUAAUCGAUUCUCCCCGAUAUACCUCACCGUUUCUUGAAUAUCCAGCCUGUAUACCUCCGUCGCAAGCUUACCAUGUGAACGUACACAGUGAGCCUAAAGACCCACCGUCCACACGUCAGGUCAAGGUGCAGCCCACGGAACGGAAAGAAAUGGGCUACAAUCUCUACCCUAGAACAAACGAAAGACUGCAUGAAACACAGUCAUUGAAGGCGGAUUUAGUAGUAAAAAGAAAAUAGAGAGUUCUUUUUAACUGGGCGCUGGGACGCGUACACACCGCCCGUCACCCUCUUCAAACAGAAGUCUUAAAAAGUCACUAACAUCAUAUAAUUUAAUAGAAGAGGCAAGUCGUAACAUGGUAAGUGUACUGGAAAGUGCACUUGGAAUAACAAAAUGUAACUUAAUAAAAGUAUCCUGCUUACACCAAGACUAUGUCUGUGAAACCCAGACCAUUUUGAGCCUAAACCUCAGCCCUAUUAACCCUUCUCCAUAAAUUUUCUACCUUUUUUCCCCCCCCCAAAAACAUUUUUCUGACUAAGUAAAGGCGAUUAAAAAGUUUCUAGGAGCCCUAACACCAGUACCGCAAGGGAAAGGUGAAAUAAAAAUGAAAUAAAUUUAAAGCAUUAUAAAGUAAAGAUCCCCCCUUGUACCU
rnacentral:rRNA from 1 species